rnacentral:rRNA from 1 species
GACGAAGGUGGCGAGCGUUGUUCGGAAUUACUGGGCUUAGAGAGCACGUACGUGGGCUUGCAAGCGUCUUGUGAAAGCCCCCGGCUUAACCGGGGAAUUGUAGGGCGAACUGCCAGCCUUGAGGCAGGUUAAGGGCGAGUGCAACUCUUGGUGGAGCGGUGGAAUGCGUAGAUAUCAAGAGGAACGCCGGAGGUGAAGACGACUCGCUGGGCAGGUCCUGACACUGAGGUGCGAAAGCCAGGGGAGCAAACGGGAUUAGAUACCCCGGUAGUCCAGGCCGUAAACGAUGUCCACUAGGUCGGAGGCCUUCGGACAGGCUUCUGCCGGCAAGAAAACCAUUAAGUGGACCGCCUGGGGAGUACGGUCGCAAGGCUAAAACUCAAAGGAAUUGACGGGGGCUCACACAACCGGUGGAGUAUGUUGCUCAAUUCGAUGCAACGCGAAGAACCUUAUCGUGGGCUUGACAUGUUCGGAUGCCUCCCUGGAAACAGGGUUGGUUGCCAUUCGGGGUGAAACGUUCACAGGUGCUGCAUGGCUGUCGUCAGCUCAUGUCGUGAGAUGUUGGGUUAAGUCCCGUAACGAGCGAAACCCUUGUCGCUAGUUGCCAGCGA